CCCUUAGAUGUUCUGGGCCGCACGCGCGCUACAAUGAUGAAUUCAACGAGUUUAUAACCUUGGUUGAAAAGCCUGGGUAAUCUUUUGAACUUUCGUCGUGAUGGGGCUAGACCCUUGCAAUUAUUGGUCUCCAACGAGGAAUUCCUAGUAAACGCAAGUCAUCAGCUUGCAUUGAUUACGUCCCUGCCCUUUGUACACACCGCCCGCCGCACCUACCGAUUGAAUGGUCCGGUGAAAUCUUCGGAUUGAGACUUUGAUUUCUUCACGGAAAACGCUGUUUUAAAAAGUUGAUUAAACCUUACCAUUUAGAGGAAGGUGAAGUCGUAACA
rnacentral:rRNA from 1 species